rnacentral:rRNA from 1 species
CGAACGCUGGCGGCGUGCCUAAUACAUGCAAGUCGAGCGGACAGAAGGGAGCUUGCUCCCGGAUGUUAGCGGCGGACGGGUGAGUAACACGUGGGUAACCUGCCUGUAAGACUGGGAUAACUCCGGGAAACCGGAGCUAAUACCGGAUAGUUCCUUGAACCGCAUGGUUCAAGGAUGAAAGACGGUUUCGGCUGUCACUUACAGAUGGACCCGCGGCGCAUUAGCUAGUUGGUGGGGUAAUGGCUCACCAAGGCGACGAUGCGUAGCCGACCUGAGAGGGUGAUCGGCCACACUGGGACUGAGACACGGCCCAGACUCCUACGGGAGGCAGCAGUAGGGAAUCUUCCGCAAUGGACGAAAGUCUGACGGAGCAACGCCGCGUGAGUGAUGAAGGUUUUCGGAUCGUAAAGCUCUGUUGUUAGGGAAGAACAAGUGCGAGAGUAACUGCUCGCACC